rnacentral:rRNA from 1 species
UACGUAGGGGGCAAGGCGUUGUCCGGAUUUACUGGGCGUAAAGAGCGUGUAGGCGGCCUGGAAGGUCAGCUGUGAAAACUCGAGGCUCAACCUCGAGACGUCGGUUGAAACCACCUGGCUAGAGUCCGGAAGAGGAGAAUGGAAUUCCUGGUGUAGCGGUGAAAUGCGCAGAUAUCAGGAAGAACACCCGUGGCGAAGGCGGUUCUCUGGGACGGUACUGACGCUGAGACGCGAAAGCGUGGGGAGCGAACAGG